rnacentral:tRNA from 1 species
CAGGGAAUAGUUUAUUAAAAAUACUAAUUUUGGGGAUUAGUGAAGAAUUAUUAGUGAUUUUUUCCUGA